UGGGCUUUUAAUGCUUUGUUUUUUCUUUAAUAAUGUUUUUUUCUCCUUCUCUCUUUUUAAUGUUGUUAUUGAAAACUUGUUAGGUUUCUAUGGUGGGCUGUGAACUGGCCUUUGGACAUGAGGCUUGUUUCUCUGUUUUUUUUUUGUUUUUUUUUAUGAAAGCCUAGUUCGAUUUUGCUCAAAAAAUUGUUAGGGAAUGAAUUGAAAAUAUGUUUAAAUUUAGAUAAACAUGAGGAAAAUUUUUGAGAGAUAUAUUUGGAUUAUUUUGAAUAAGAAUUUUAUAUGAAAUUUUAAGUUUAUUGUUUUUAAAAAAAUAAAAAAGAGAAGAAUUUA
rnacentral:lncRNA from 1 species